GACCGUCGUGAGACAGGUCGGUCUCUAUCCGCUGUGGGCGUAGGGGACUUGAGGGGAGCUGCUCUUAGUACGAGAGGACCGGAGUGGACAGACCGCUAGUGUGCCAGUUGUCCCGCCAGGGGCAUCGCUGGGUAGCUACGUCUGGCAGAGAUAACCGCUGAAAGCAUCUAAGUGGGAAACUCGCCCCCCAAGAUGAGGUCCCCCACCGGAUUAACCGGGUAAGACCGCAGGAAGACUACCUGUUUGAUAGGCGGGAGGUGUAAGCGCAGCAAUGCGUUCAGCUAACCCGUACUAACGGUCGAGGGCUUAAC
rnacentral:rRNA from 1 species